AUGUACCUGUGAGGGAAGAAGCAAAUAAAUAUAAGGUAUAUGUGAAAAAUUUUCAUUCACCCGUGUCUCUCCUUUGUUUCAGCUGACAUGUGUAAAGCAAGAUGGAAGGCUUUAAGGGACGCAUUCGCAAAAAACAGGAAAAAAGGCAUUCCAAGUGGAUCGGCAGGUGGCACACAGAAGGACUGGAAGUAUGCAGAGAUCAUGUUCGAAGGAUCAUUCCUUCGUUUUGCCCCAUCUACAACCAAGAAGUUCAAGAAGCAAUGUCGGGUCGGGUACCCCUCAGUCAGACCGGUCUGAGGGUCGGUCCAGCACCCCUGGCAUUUCAUUGCAACAGCCUUCGACAUCUCCGGCUCCAUCAACCUCAGCACUGUCUGCCUCUAGGUCCCGGAACCCCAGGGACAGAAAUAUUUCAAGGCCGGCUGUUGCAGCGCAGGCCCCCAGGGAAACCAGAAGAGGCCAAAGACCGAUAGACACAGGCAUUGGGGACCGGCUGAUGUCUUUGCUGGAGCAGCCGGUGCCAAAACCCCAUAUACCCGAUGACGAGCUGGACGAGGCAUAUCAUUUUGCGAUGAGCAUUGUGCCAAUGUUGCACCGCUUAAACAAGGACAGUCGGCAACAGGCCAAAAUGGAGAUCCUCACUGUUCUUCACCACCUCGAAAGUGGCCAACCUCCACCUUUACCUCCCCCCGCUCUGGGACAAACAUCCCGACCCCCACAAUCUCAACCUCCUCCUCCCCCAACACAGUUGCCUUCUCCUAUUCAACCAAUUCACCCCCCCACACAAACAGAGUCGUUCACACAAAUGAGUCCUGACUGGGAAGACCCGAACGACCCAUACUACACGUAGUACAAGCGUUGCUUGUUUGCCAGUUUUCUUUACAUUUGUUACUAUUUUUAAGUUUUUAUUCUUGUUUUUGAAAAUCUUUUUUCACUUUAUAUAUUUAUUUAUAACGUUUAUAUGUUGAAACCGUAUUAAAAAAUGUUUCUUCA